UGUGGUUCAUGACUGGGGUGAAGUCGUAACAAGGUAGCCCUAGGGGAACCUGGGGCUGGAUCACCUCCUUA
rnacentral:rRNA from 1 species